rnacentral:rRNA from 1 species
AGCGUAGACGGUGUGGCAAGUCUGAUGUGAAAGGCAUGGGCUCAACCUGUGGACUGCAUUGGAAACUGUCAUACUUGAGUGCCGGAGGGGUAAGCGGAAUUCCUAGUGUAGCGGUGAAAUGCGUAGAUAUUAGGAGGAACACCAGUGGCGAAGGCGGCUCACUGGACGGUAACUGACGUUGAGGCUCGAAAGCGUGGGAGCAAACA